rnacentral:lncRNA from 1 species
AUGGACAGUUGUGAAGAACAUCGAAUGGAACGUGUUUCUACUAGAGUUCAUUUGACGCUGAUUUAUUAGUUUUGAUCGGAACUGGAGCUACUUACUUUAUUCAGGUCAUCAUUGGCUCUCAGAGGAUUCUCUGCUGCCAACAUAGCCGAUGAAAACAUAAUGCAACACAGGAUAAUGUUGCCGAAAUUGCUGUGAUUGCAAAGCCAGUGGCAGAAGACGCGAAAUCUGUUGAAAUAUCAUAGAGCAGAGUGUUAAGAAACGUGCUCUCAAAGUUUUAUAAAUCACAAAAGUAAAAUCACAGAAAAAACAAAGAUAUUUUUAGCAUGCAGUUAGAAGUUUUACAAUUCAAGUUAUAAACGAAAUUAUGGAAUAAAAAGCAGCUAAGAGUGGAAAUAAAUUUUUUCUACCAU